GGAAAGGCGCGCGAUACAGGGUGACAGCCCCGUACACAAAAAUGCACAUACUGUGAGCUCGAUGAGUAGGGCGGGACACGUGGUAUCCUGUCUGAAUAUGGGGGGACCAUCCUCCAAGGCUAAAUACUCCUGACUGACCGAUAGUGAACCAGUACCGUGAGGGAAAGGCGAAAAGAACCCCGGCGAGGGGAGUGAAAAAGAACCUGAAACCGUGUACGUACAAGCAGUGGGAGCCUCUUAAUGGGGUGACUGCGUACCUUUUGUAUAAUGGGUCAGCGACUUAUAUUCUGUAGCAAGGUUAACCGAAUAGGGGAGCCGAAGGGAAACCGAGUCUUAACUGGGCGUUAAGUUGCAGGGUAUAGACCCGAAACCCGGUGAUCUAGCCAUGGGCAGGUUGAAGGUUGGGUAACACUAACUGGAGGACCGAACCGACUAAUGUUGAAAAAUUAGCGGAUGACUUGUGGCUGGGGGUGAAAGGCCAAUCAAACCGGGAGAUAGCUGGUUCUCCCCGAAAGCUAUUUAGGUAGCGCCUCGUGAAUUCAUCUCCGGGGGUAGAGCACUGUUUCGGCAAGGGGGUCAUCCCGACUUACCAACCCGAUGCAAACUGCGAAUACCGGAGAAUGUUAUCACGGGAGACACACGGCGGGUGCUAACGUCCGUCGUGAAGAGGGAAACAACCCAGACCGCCAGCUAAGGUCCCAAAGUCAUGGUUAAGUGGGAAACGAUGUGGGAAGGCCCAGACAGCCAGGAUGUUGGCUUAGAAGCAGCCAUCAUUUAAAGAAAGCGUAAUAGCUCACUGGUCGAGUCGGCCUGCGCGGAAGAUGUAACGGGGCUAAACCAUGCACCGAAGCUGCGGCAGCGACACUAUGUGUUGUUGGGUAGGGGAGCGUUCUGUAAGCCUGUGAAGGUGUACUGUGAGGUAUGCUGGAGGUAUCAGAAGUGCGAAUGCUGACAUAAGUAACGAUAAAGCGGGUGAAAAGCCCGCUCGCCGGAAGACCAAGGGUUCCUGUCCAACGUUAAUCGGGGCAGGGUGAGUCGACCCCUAAGGCGAGGCCGAAAGGCGUAGUCGAUGGGAAACAGGUUAAUAUUCCUGUACUUGGUGUUACUGCGAAGGGGGGACGGAGAAGGCUAUGUUGGCCGGGCGACGGUUGUCCCGGUUUAAGCGUGUAGGCUGGUUUUCCAGGCAAAUCCGGAAAAUCAAGGCUGAGGCGUGAUGACGAGGCACUACGGUGCUGAAGCGACAAAUGCCCUGCUUCCAGGAAAAGCCUCUAAGCAUCAGGUAACAUCAAAUCGUACCCCAAACCGACACAGGUGGUCAGGUAGAGAAUACCAAGGCGCUUGAGAGAACUCGGGUGAAGGAACUAGGCAAAAUGGUGCCGUAACUUCGGGAGAAGGCACGCUGAUAUGUAGGUGAAGCGACUUGCUCGUGGAGCUGAAAUCAGUCGAAGAUACCAGCUGGCUGCAACUGUUUAUUAAAAACACAGCACUGUGCAAACACGAAAGUGGACGUAUACGGUGUGACGCCUGCCCGGUGCCGGAAGGUUAAUUGAUGGGGUUAGCGGUAACGCGAAGCUCUUGAUCGAAGCCCCGGUAAACGGCGGCCGUAACUAUAACGGUCCUAAGGUAGCGAAAUUCCUUGUCGGGUAAGUUCCGACCUGCACGAAUGGCGUAAUGAUGGCCAGGCUGUCUCCACCCGAGACUCAGUGAAAUUGAACUCGCUGUGAAGAUGCAGUGUACCCGCGGCAAGACGGAAAGACCCCGUGAACCUUUACUAUAGCUUGACACUGAACAUUGAGCCUUGAUGUGUAGGAUAGGUGGGAGGCUUUGAAGUGUGGACGCCAGUCUGCAUGGAGCCGACCUUGAAAUACCACCCUUUAAUGUUUGAUGUUCUAACGUGGGCCCCUUACCGGGGUUGCGGACAGUGUCUGGUGGGUAGUUUGACUGGGGCGGUCUCCUCCUAAAGAGUAACGGAGGAGCACGAAGGUUGGCUAAUCCUGGUCGGACAUCAGGAGGUUAGUGCAAUGGCAUAAGCCAGCUUGACUGCGAGCGUGACGGCGCGAGCAGGUGCGAAAGCAGGUCAUAGUGAUCCGGUGGUUCUGAAUGGAAGGGCCAUCGCUCAACGGAUAAAAGGUACUCCGGGGAUAACAGGCUGAUACCGCCCAAGAGUUCAUAUCGACGGCGGUGUUUGGCACCUCGAUGUCGGCUCAUCACAUCCUGGGGCUGAAGUAGGUCCCAAGGGUAUGGCUGUUCGCCAUUUAAAGUGGUACGCGAGCUGGGUUUAGAACGUCGUGAGACAGUUCGGUCCCUAUCUGCCGUGGGCGCUGGAGAACUGAGGGGGGCUGCUCCUAGUACGAGAGGACCGGAGUGGACGCAUCACUGGUGUUCGGGUUGUCAUGCCAAUGGCACUGCCCGGUAGCUAAAUGCGGAAGAGAUAAGUGCUGAAAGCAUCUAAGCACGAAACUUGCCCCGAGAUGAGUUCUCCCUGACUCCUUGAGAGUCCUGAAGGAACGUUGAAGACGACGACGUUGAUAGGCCGGGUGUGUAAGCGCAGCGAUGCGUUGAGCUAACCGGUACUAAUGAACCGUGAGGCUUAACCUUACAACGCCGAAG
rnacentral:rRNA from 1 species